AGAGACAGCAGUAGCCGCGGGAAUACGUAGGUGGCAAGCGUUGUCCGGAAUUAUUGGGCGUAAAGGGCUCGCAGGCGGUUUCUUAAGUCUGAUGUGAAAGCCCCCGGCUCAACCGGGGAGGGUCAUUGGAAACUGGGAAACUUGAGUGCAGAAGAGGAGAGUGGAAUUCCACGUGUAGCGGUGAAAUGCGUAGAGAUGUGGAGGAACACCAGUGGCGAAGGCGACUCUCUGGUCUGUAACUGACGCUGAGGCUCGAAAGCGUGGGGCGCAAACAGGAUUAGAUACCCCUGUAGUCCCUGUCUCUUAUAC
rnacentral:rRNA from 1 species